rnacentral:rRNA from 1 species
UACGUAGGGUGCGAGCGUUGUCCGGAAUUAUUGGGCGUAAAGAGCGUGUAGGCGGCCAGGUAGGUCCGUUGUGAAAACUCGAGGCUCAACCUCGAGACGUCGGCGGAAACCCUCUGGCUAGAGUCCGGAAGAGGAGAGUGGAAUUCCUGGUGUAGCGGUGAAAUGCGCAGAUAUCAGGAAGAACACCCGUGGCUAAGGCGGCUCUCUAGUACGGUACUGACGCUGAGACGCGAAAGCGUGGGGAGCGAACAGG